rnacentral:rRNA from 1 species
AUUGAACGCUGGCGGCAGGCCUAACACAUGCAAGUCGAACGAGUGGCGGACGGGUGAGCAAUGUCUGGGCAACUGCCUAAGGGAGGGGGAUAACUACUGGAAACGGUAGCUACUACCGCAUAACAUCAGAUGUGCCCAGAUGGGAUUAGCUUGUUGGGGGGGUAACGGCUCACCAAGGCGACGAUCCCUAGCUGGUCUGAGAGGCAGACCAGCCACACUGGAACUGAGACACGGCCCAGACUCCUACGGGAGGCAGCAGUGGGGAAUAUUCGGCAAUGGGCGAAAGCCUGAUGCAGCCAUGCCGCGUGUAUGAAGAAGGUUUUCGGGUUGUAAAGCACUGUCAGCGGGGAGGCGGUACCCGCAGAAGAAGCACCGGCUAACUCCGUGCCAGCAGCCGCGGUAAUUC